rnacentral:rRNA from 1 species
GAUGAACGCUGGCGGCGUGCUUAACACAUGCAAGUCGAACGAACCUUCGGGUUAGUGGCGGACGGGUGAGUAACGCGUGAGAAUCUGCCCUCAGGAGGGGGAUAACGGUUGGAAACGGCCGCUAAUACCCCAUAUGCCGCGAGGUGAAAUGAAUUUCGCCUGAGGAUGAGCUCGCGUCUGAUUAGCUAGUUGGUGUAGGUAAUGGCUCACCAAGGCAUCGAUCAGUAGCUGGUCUGAGAGGAUGAUCAGCCACACUGGGACUGAGACACGGCCCAGACUCCUACGGGAUGCAGCAGUGGGGAAUUUUCCGCAAUGGGCGAAAGCCUGACGGAGCAACGCCGCGUGAGGGAUGAAGGCCUCUGGGCUGUAAACCUCUUUUAUCAAGGAAGAAGAUCUGACGGGACUUGAUGAAUAAGCCACGGCUAAUUCCGUGCCAGC